GCCCGCGUAGCCGAGUGGCUAAGGCGUGCCUUUCCUAAGGGCAAGAUCGUGGGUUCGAUCCCCACCGUGGGUUCUA